AAUCAAUCAUUCAAUUGGAAUCUCGGUACAUCUGCAUGUGAACUAAUUUGUGCCCUUCCCAUGCUUCCAUACAAAUACCCUUUUAAUUUGCACGUGAAGUGAUUUGUGCCAUCCUCGUGUCUAACUGCAAAUUACACUUUAUAUCACCUGUGCUCAUAACCCACAUUAUAAUCUGUGCACUUUAUACAUAAACACCAUAAUUUACACACUGCAUACAACAUAAAACACAAAAAUACACACGGGCGGGGCACAUUGCCACAGUGACUCAGCUGAGGGAGAGGUUUGAAGCACGAUUUGGUGACUUUUGCAAUAGGAAGGUUUUGUUUCAUUUUUUGCAAAAUCCUUUUGUUGUAGCAGUGAGAGCCACCUCUACUAAACUGGCACAAAUGGGGGCAGCAACUGCCAAUUCAGACUCUGAACUUUUGGAACUGUAAGAUGACUUUGACAUGCAAGAGAUACAUUUGACAUGCUCCGUGCCUGAAUUCUGGUUUAAAGUUCCUCAAGAAAAAUAUCUACAUUGGUAUCCUGUGCUUUUAAAGGGAUUGUCCGUGUCUGGUAGCACAUAUGUGUGCGAAGCCAGCUUUUCGGCAAUGAACUCAAUAAAGAACAAGCACCGUGACAGACUGAGGCACGACCGCCUGCAACAUUGUUUGCGAGCCGCAACUAUCUCCUACGAACCACGUUAUCAGAAUAUUACAAGCAAGUUCACUCGUUUCCAAGUUCCAACGAGUAAAGUGCCUAUGACAAGGCUGCCAUAGAUCUGACCCUUGAUCCUGUCAGUCACGCUCUUGUACUGCUGAGCAUUCAUGGAGGUGUGCACCAUUAGCUGGGCGAAGGUGAAUCCUCCAAUGGAGAAGGCAUGAAGCAGCAGUGGGCGGGACACAAAACUGUCACUCUGCAGCAACUCCAACACCUGGGCACCAUGGUCCAACCCCCACCUGGACCACAGAAAGUGACUAGUCUCACUCUCCACGAGCCUAUGACGAGGCUGUCAUAGAUCUGACCCUUGAUCCUGUCAGUCACGCUCUUGUAUUGCUGAGCAUUCUUGGAGAUGUGCACCAUCAUCUGAGAGAAGGUGUAUCCUC